ACUCUACAUGUGCACGAAAACUGAUUUUGAAAAUAUUGCUUCGUUAUUUUAAUAAAAAAUCAAAAAAAUGAGAAAAAGCUUCCAGUUUCGCCUUAAAAUCUAGUUCGCGUGAACAGGUCUUGCUCCUGGGCAAUUGAGGUGGGGCUGAGGGGGCUUCCAGAAAGUUCCCAGAGAGCCCAAAAAGGGUGUUCCAAGGGGCUUCAGGGGCGUUUUAAAGGGUUGUUUUGAGGGAUUUGAGGAACCUUUCAAAGGCGUUCUGUCAAGAUUGCUUGGUGUUUUCAUGGGAUUACGGGGAAUUCAGCAGUAUUUAAAUAGUAUUAAGUGGGUUUCAGAUGCGUUCCAAGAGGCUGUAGGGACAAUUAAAGGAAUCUCAGGAGCCUUUGAAGGACGUUACAAGAGAUUUGAGGGCGUUUUGCGGUAUUUUAUAGUCAUUUCAGAGAGUUUCAGGGUGUUUCAGGAACAUUUUAAGGGCAUUUUAGGAACGUUGGCAUUUCAGGGGCGUUUCAAGGGGUUUUCAGGUUCGUUUCCAGAGGUUUAUGGACAAUAUUAAAGGCGUCCAAAGGGAUUUUCGAGGCAUUUCAAAUUGAUUAUGAUGAGUUCCAUGGCGUUUCAAUAGGAGUAUGGCGAUUUAAGUGGCGUUUCAAUGCAUUUUAGAUCAGGGUCGUAUGAGGGGGUUUCAAGACAAUCUUUAAAUCAAAGGGUUUUUCAGAAGUGUUAUAAAAGAUAUUGUGUUGGGGUCUCUAAAAAUUCUUUGAAACUUCCUAAAAUGCCUGCGACCCGAAACUCGCAAAAACUCAUCGUAACACUUCCGUAACGCCUCUGAAUCCCACCGAAAAUGGUCUGAAACAUCCUGAAAUGCCUCCAAAAUCCCCCUUAAAUCCCCUCGGACCCCAUGUAACGCACCUGAGAGGCUGCGGACCCCCCGAAAACUCCCCGUAACGCUUAUGUAACGCUUCUGAAUCUCGCCGAAAAUGCUCUGAAACGUCCGGAAAUUCUUCCAAAAAACCCGCUUAAACUCCCUCGGACCCCAUGUAACGCACCUAAGAAGCUCCGAACUCCCUGAAAACUCCUUCGUAUCGCCUCUGAAUCGCACCGAAAAUGGUCUUAAACAUCCUGAAAUGCCUCCAAAAUCCUUCUUAAAUCCCUUCGGACCCCAUCUAACGCACCUAAGAGGCUCCUCCAAACACCCCGAAAACUCCUCGUACCGCUUAAGUAACGCCUCUGAAUCCCGCCGAAAAUGUUCUGAAACGUCCGAAAAUGCCUCCAAAAUAUCCCUUAAGCCCCCUCGAACCCCAUGUAAUGCACCUGAGACGUACCUAAACCUCUGAAAACUUCUCCGUAACGCUUCCGUAACGCCUCUGAACUUCGACAAAAAUGCUCAGAAACUUCUAAAAGUGCAUCCAAAAAUCUCCCCAAACCAAAACCCCUACAAACGCCUCCACAACGCUUCUGAAACCAGCCUAAAAUGCUCUGUGGCUUCCUGAAAUGACUCCUAAAGCCCCUUAGGGAGCAUCCAUAAAGUACGUCACGCUUAGAGGGGGUGGGGGGUUUUGAAAAGUGUGACUAGCUGUCCCGGCAAACUUUGUCUUGCCGUCUUGUGGUGAUUUGACAACUGUUGAGCUCAAAAUAGCACCGCACUCUAGAUUGAUUUUAUUUCAGUCGUGUUAAUUUCCUUCCCAGCUCAUGGAAAAUCAAUUCUUUAUCAAUUUUGAUACUUUUCUAGUUGAUUUUCGUAACUUUUUGUACGUAUAAACACAACCACCACGAAUACGAACCGAACCGUUCAAGAAUCUUGUUGAUCGGUUCAUCCGUUCUUGAGUUUUGUUGCCUCAAUGGAACUUCGAACUCAUUUUUAUAUAUACAGAUAGGAAAAAUCCGUACGAAGGGGUGAAGGGGGUCGAAAAUUCUCAUUUUUAGCGUGACGUACUAAAUGGAUGCCCCCUUAAGACCCACUUGGACCCCAUGAAACGCACAUGAGGAUGAUACCUUCGGAAACACCCAAAAACGUACCUGUAACCUUGCUCUCCCCUGUAAACACCCCUUGGCCGCCGUUGCAAUAGUUCCCGUCAUUAUUAAAUAUUCUUAUGCACUAUAUUGGUUCUGGGUAGCUUUCCCUUUUUUUAUGCAGGGCAUAAAAAAGGUGCAUAAAUUAAAAGUGCAUAAAAAUAACAUACAUAAAAAAAAUAAGGUUCACUCCGACGAUGCUUGCUUCUCUGAUCCACUUGGCCUGGUUGGGCCAGUUGUAGUCCAAGCGAAAAUACUCAUCCAGUGGCUGUGGCUGCUGAAAUGUGACUGAGUUGAUCCUCUCGACGAGUCUGUACAGAAGAUGUGGAGAGAAUACAAACAGAAUAUGGUCGCUUUGGAGUCACUAUCCAUUCCCCGCUGGCUUGGCAUCAGCAAUGACUGCACAGUAGUACAGCUACACGGGUUCUGUGACGCAUCGGAAGCUGCGUACGGAGCUUAUCUUUAUUUGUACUGCGUCGGAUGGCACCUUCACUGCUCGACUGAUCACUUCAAAAUCACGAGUGGCACCUUUGGAGGAAAAAAAAGAUGAGCUUUCCCGUCGCGAUCUGUUCUUGGUAUUCUUGCUCAUCCAAAUGAGAAGUACAGCCAGGUCCACCCGAACUUCUGGACAGACUCGAUGAUAGUUAAUCGCUGAUUGGCCUAGCCUCACUAUCCUCUAGGUGGCAAAUUUUCGUAGCAAACCUCGUGUCGGAGAUACAGCACCUGACUAAGAAUGGAGUUUGGGGUCAUGUCCCAAGCACUGAAAACCCCGAAGGCCCACAGCGGCUGGCUCAACAGUUCUGGUCUCAUAUAGACCACGUCGAAUGGGACACAUCAGUGCUAGAAGAACGUCCAACACUCGCGCUUCACGCUCAAGCAAUACCUCUAAGCGAAAUCGUCGUUCACGGAGCUCAUCCAUGUCGUGGCACUGCUACUUCGAUUUCGGCACAACUCGAACAAAUGCAAUCGGUCGUCCAGGAAAACGGGUCCUCUGACACUCGAGGAACAGGUACAGGCAACUGUCGCUCUAGUUCGCUUGUCUCAGCACGAAUACUCCCCGCAGGAGCUAGAAGAGUUGGACAAAAAGGGAUCUGUCCACGACUCUUCCAAUAUCGCUGCGUUGCGUCAGCCGCCGGCUCUCUAAGACGUCGAUAUCGUCCGAUCGCAAGCAUCCCUACAUUCUUCACCAUAAGCACCCUCUCUCAACGAUGAUCGUGUGGCAUCAAGCUCUUCCACGCCGGUUAGCAGGUACUGAUUUCGGCUGUCCGCAGAAAGCUCUGACCUGUUCACAACCACAGUUUCCGUGCUUCCGGAAUAAGCCCAAGGUUCUGGAUCAAUUAAUGGUUAACCCCGCAUAACCAUUCAUGAACUUCGGCGUGUACUAUUGCGAUCCAUUCCUGGUGAACUAUCCCAACCAUCGAGCUAUUCCAGUGAAUUGCUACGUAGCGAUGUUUGUCUGCCCAGUAGUCAAAGCCCGGCCGUCCAUCUGGAGCUGGUGAUGGACCUAACCAUCCAAGCGUUCCUAGAGGCACUGAAACAAUUCGCUGCUCGUCGUGGUAAGCCUCAACUUAUUAUGUGCGGCAACGCAACGACGUUUGUCGGGGCAAAACGAGAGCUCACCGAGCUGAACCGCCUCUGCACAACCAGAAGUUUCAAGAUAGGCUCAUCAAAGACACCGCACCGGUUCCGAUGGAAUCGAAUUUCGGUUCAUCCCCCCUCGGACACCCAACUUCGGGGGCCUAUGUGAGGCACAAGUCAAAUCGUUCAAGGGCCAUUUCAAGAAGGCGGUUGAAACCAAGGUGUUGAAGGUGGACGAGAUGUUGACUACUCUGGCGCAGAUCGAAGCAGUCAAUGUGGGAAAAUGCUCAGCAAGUGGUCUACCCAGUAUCUCUCUGAUCUGCAUAAUCGCACCAAGUGGACGAAGCAACGGAACAACAUCCGAGUUGGCACGAUGAUCCUGCUCGAAGACGAGCACGCCCUUCCAGUGGCGCACGAAGCAGCAUGUCCCACCUGUGGAGUUUAGGAUUUCUCUGGGAAGGAAUCACCCCUCACGUGCAGCACACACAACUUACCCGGGCUGACGUUGGUUCGCAAGUGGCAAGAGUGAACGCGGUUGGGUGACGCCUGGAGUUGUUGCUACGCAAGCAGGGAUGCUAACAUUGUCUGCUUGACAGUUCGCAUCACAUUCAAAUGCGCUAUAUCGCCUGCUGUGAUCAUUCUCUUUAUCACAGCUUUAUUCAGUACUUGUUCAGUACAUCUUAUAUCUCACAUCCUUCUUCUACUCUAAAGAAGUUUAACACAUUUUUAACAUAAAAUUGAAUUUCCAGUCAGUGAUGUGAAGUCAGUGAUUGAAGGCCAAAGUCAAGGACCUCAAGAAGAACUCGGUCUGGACGGACAUUCGAUACAGUCUACUCAGUUAAGUCCGUACCAUUCCACCCUGUGUUGCCUUAGUAAUGUCAAUGUCUUCCAACGAAUUGGGUUUAAGCAAUACGCUUGUUGAGUGAUUUCUGCAGUAAUUCCCUUGCUUUGCUUUCCACUUUGAUAAAAAUAUUGUUCUUGAGGAUGUUUUGCUGAUCUAGUUGCUGACAAGUUGUCUAUCAAAUCCAUCAAAUCCUAUUCUAUCCUGUAGUGUACCUAAGGUACCUAGUACCUUGCCUAGUACGCUAGGUAAGUAGGGUAAGUACAAGUGUACUUCUGGGUUCACCAGGGUUCACCUACUACGUGAUAGACCUCGUGUACGUGUUUACCAUGUACUAAAUAAAAAGUUAAGUAGGCAUUGAAGUUUAGCUCUCAUGUGAACGGCACUUGACAGUCAUCUUUCGGCCUCGGCAGAUGCAAAAUUACCAGUAGAAUUGAAGAAAAAAGAAGCUAGAACAUUUUUUGCAAAACAAGAGAUCCGGAUAACUGAAUACCAGAACAAACUUAAGAAUGCCGAAAAAGCUCUGCAAUCCUUGCCCAUUACCGUGUGGAGCAUACCUGAAUCCGUGUGGCCCGUACUACGGACCAUCCCUCGGAGUGUGUGCUCCUUGUGUGCCCUGUGGACCUUUUGGACCGUGUUCGCCGUGCCAGCCAUGUGGACCUUGUGGACCAUGCAUCCCGAUAUGUGGUCCUUGCUGGGGACCAAACGGCCCUUGUGCUCGAAUUGAAUACUACGAUCGAUAAAUUCUCAAUAUGUCUCGGAUGUUCGCAAUAAAUCUCAUGUAUUGAUAGUAA